UACGAAGGGGACUAGCGUUGUUCGGAAUUACUGGGCGUAAAGCGCACGUAGGCGGAUUUGUUAGUCAGGGUGAAAUCCCGGGGCUCAACCUCGGAACUGCCUUUGAUACUGCAAGUCUCGAGUCCGAUAGAGGUGGGUGGAAUUCCUAGUGUAGAGGUGAAAUUCGUAGAUAUUAGGAAGAACACCGGUGGCGAAGGCGGCCCACUGGAUCGGUACUGGACGCUGAGGUGCGAAAGCUAGGGGAGCGAA
rnacentral:rRNA from 1 species